GCCCUGGUAGCUCAAUUGGUUAGAGCGUCGGACUUUUAUCGGUACCCCCCAUAAAGUGUCAUCCGAAGGCUGCGGGUUCGACCCCCGCCUGGGGCG
rnacentral:tRNA from 1 species